rnacentral:rRNA from 1 species
UACGUAGGGGGCAAGCGUUGUCCGGAAUUAUUGGGCGUAAAGAGCUCGUAGGCGGUCUGUUACGUCGGCUGUGAGAACCUAGGGCUCAACCCUGGGCCUGCAGCCGAUACGGGCAGACUAGAAUUCGGUAGGGGAGACUGGAAUUCCUGGUGUAGCGGUGAAAUGCGCAGAUAUCGGGAAGAACACCCGUGGCGAAGGCGGCUCUCUGGGACGGUACUGACGCUGAGACGCGAAAGCGUGGGGAGCGAACAGG